AUGCCAGGCAGGAGUUGCAAGGCACCUCACAGAACUCAAAAAUGUGCCUGUGGCUGACAGUGCUGGUACAGACACAGAAGCAUCAGAGUGUGGACUCAGUUGAGAUGAUGAAGACGGGCAACUACAGGAUGCGCUUUCACAUGACAAGGCAAUUGCAUCGGAUAUCUCCAUGGCUGAUAUUCUCCGACUUGAAGAAGAAAUCCGAAGGUUAAACCACGAGGUCUACAAGCUGAAGGCACAUAUGGCACAUACGAGAAAUGACACAAGCGUAUUUUCAGAAUGACUCUUCUGCAGUGAAGUUUUACUCUGGACUUCCCAACUAUGCAAUGUUGCUUACAGUUUUCGAUUUGGUUGAGAACCAUGUCCACCAUACAUCUUGCAAUUCUUUGACGAAAUUUCAGGAGAUAAUGUUAACUUUGGUUCGGCUUUGUUUAAACGUGCCUCUUCAAGAUCUC